AAUGACAUAUUGGUAGGCUUCAGGUUUAUUCAAUUCCCAUUUAUAUCAAAAAUUACUGGGGGCAGUAAACCCUCAAUAAGUGUGAUCACUUCCAUUAGCGCAAUAUGUAUGUUAGUGAUGAAAAUUUGGGGUAGGAGAAAAAGGUGUUGAAUGGAUGCGGAUCCAUUCGAGAAGGGAUUUUUCCAAGUUUGAGACCAAGGGGUUUGACCUGCAAGAGAAUAAUGAGGAUAGAGAGGUGCCCGGACGGAUCUGGGCAAAUCCACUUCGACGCUCAAGUUAGCCAUUUACGGCUAUGAAUGAGAAGUUGGGGAGUGGAGAAGUAAGGUUACCUUUGGAGUAGGGCGAGACCAUUAUUUAUAGGCGUUGAGGCAGGAGGUUUGCACUAGAUUAAGGAGCUGUCAUUGAUAGCUGUCCUCACGCUCCUCCGAAGGAGGCUUAAGGGGCGCGCUCUGGAUCGAGCCAUACCCGUGUGUUCACAUGUAGAGUCGGGAGGCACAUGACACUAUGUUGACGAGAUAAGACGCAUGCACAAGGCUUAGUUAGAGCCUUUGACGUGGUUCCCACCAACACUGUAUUAUCAAUUUGUAGGCAUCCAUCAUUUGUUCAAAACACUACCAAAAGAGAAAAUGAGAUUAUAUUAUAAGCAUCCAUCAAUUGUUCACAACACGACCAAAAGAGAUUAUGUUCUUACACUUAAAUUGUCACAUCCCAACUCUUAAAUUUUUACCCUAUUUACUAGCUUAGUAUUAAUAAGAGUUUUACUGUUUUUGUUAAUGAGUUUAUAGUUUUAAAGGUUCCUAGAGGUGUUUUGAGGGACGAUUAUUUCGGAGAAAUUAUUCGUAGGAGAAAUAUUUGAAGACGGUAAAAUGGUAAGUUUUAGCUAGUAAAAGGUAAUUUUUUUAUUAGGGUCUUAUUUUUGGGUUGUUGUUGGAGUGUUUUAUUGUGGAGUGGGUUUUUAAAGAGGGACCGGGUCAAUUGGAAGUCAAAAGCCGAACUCUUUUUCUUCUCUCUCUCUCUUCCCUCUCCCCUGAGUUCACUCUCUGCCGGAAAUUCCCUGUGCCCGUCCGCCGCCGUCCGGUCAUCUUAGACCACUGCACCGGUCCCAAUCGGUCGGCCCUCGACCCAGCUUCCUCCCUGGACCGGUGGCAACCUCCCUAGCGCUGCCGUGAAAGAGAAAACGCACCUGAAAGCCCUGAAGGUCCCGUGGUGUUCUGUCGCCGAAACUCCUUCCUCCGGUCGCCAUAGCUGAAGCUUCUUGGCUCUUUUGGAAGCUCUCCUUCCAUGCAUCAAUCCGUCAAAAGGAUUCACUCCCUCUUGGUCUAGGUAAGGAGAAUCGGGUGUUUGAAUUUCUACGGUUCAUUUUUGUGUUUUUGUUUGAUUGACCUAGUUAAGCUUGAAAUUGGGCUUUGUGCUAGUAAGGAAAGUUGUAGAGUGGGUUGAGACGAAGAUGCUGUUAAAUUUUGGUAGGCAUUGGAGGUCGCCGGAGUCGGCCACCAGCCGCCACUGUUAGGGGGUUUUCAGGGUUUUAAAUGUGUUAUAUUAAGGGGACUCUAUUGAUGUGAAGUUUGGAAUUUUUGGAGGAGUUUUGGAUAGGUUUUAGAUUUUUUUUCAAAGAUUGGUAUUUGGCGGUUAAUUGGGUAGAAAUCUGGCCGUUGGAUUAAUGUUGUUUAGACUAUAGAAGGUUGUAAUAAGGCUGCCGGUAUUUGCGGUGAAGUUGGACCGUAUCGAUUUAAGAAUGGUGAAGUUGGGCAAUGAUGAACGUGGAUAAGGCUCACAUUUAAUUUUUCCUAUUUUGUGUAAGUGUUGAAUUUUAGUUGGGAAUUUAAUUAUGUAUUUGGAACAGGACAUGAGGAGGCUCAACCAGAAGAGGCCUCGGAUCGACAUCAAGCUUAGGCCUAAAAUUUGUGAGUGGACUUUUGUUUUAAAUAAUAUAUGCAUGCGAUGGUUUAUUGUUGAACAAUUUCUUUGUUGGAGCAUUUGACGUCAUUUUAAUUUGACGAUUUAAUUUAUUUUGGAGAGUUACCCAAAAUGGGAUUUAUCGGUGAAUAUAAAUAUAUUUAUGAGGAGAGUAUGUAUACAAAUGGUAACUAGCCAUACGUGUCUAUCCACCUUAAUGGCAUAGUGUAUAACCGUAUUAUGGUGUGACGUGAGCGUUAGACGCGAGCGUCGUAGCCCUAUAUGAGUGUUUAAUUCAUAUAGAGGGUAUGAGCACAUAUUUAUACACCCGCCCGUCCAUCUUAAUGGCGUAGUGUAUCACUGCAUUAUGGUGUGACGUAAGCGUUAGACGCGAGCAUCGUAGCCCUAUAUAAAUUACUUUAAAUCCAUAAAAUUUAUAUAAGGGGUAUGGACAUGUGUAAAUACAUACAUAUAUAUUUUUUAGCUUGAGAGGCUCGAUAUUUAUGAGAUAAAAGUUUUAUCGCUUGAGGCAUGCAUUCGAUUUCUUUGGAAAUUAAAUUGGGAAAGCAUAAAUAUUUUUAUUGAUUGGUUCAUUUUAUUAAAUUUAUUUUUGUCCACUCACUCUAACGUUUGCACAUGUUUUCCCUCGGGCCCUUCGUUUUAAAAAUGCCCAGCCUGCAGAGUUCAGGUUGGUACUAGUAGGAGGCGAGGCAUAGUUAUUGUUACGGGCUAAGCCCUUGAGAGAAAGGAAGGGAAGGGAUAAGAGAAACAGAAAGAAAAGGAAAGAGAUAAUUUCAUUCAUAAACCCCAGCUGUAGUACAGACUGAGAUUAAAUAGCCUUAUCAUGGUUGACACCUGUCAACAAUCCAUGGGUUCAACUUAAUCCAACCAUAAUCAGCUAAUUAGACUAAUUAACAGAAUUAACUGAAUAAUCAAACAUGUGCUAAAAGUCCACACUCAUAACAAUCCAGCCCCCUGAAACUGAGCUUGACCUCAAGCUUGAAAAUCUGGAAAAUAAUGUUUGAUCUCUUCUGCUAGUCUCCCAAGUUGCCUCCUCCACACUGGCACCCAACCACUGAACUAACCACUUGGUCACUAGAGCAUCAUUCAGUUUCCAAAUUUGCCUAUCCAAAAUAGCUGCUGGGUACCAUCUGGGGUUAUGAGGGUCAAUAUCAGGAGGGAAAUGAGCUGCCACAACCGCACUGUCACCCACUUUCUUCUUGAGCAGUGACACAUGAAACACAUUAUGCACUCUUGCUGAUGGAGGUAACUUGAGCUUGUAAGCUACUUCACCCACUCUUUGCUCAACCUGAUAUGGACCAUAGUACCUUGGAGACAAUUUGUGGUUACCUCUGCGUUUUACUGACUGCUGCUUGUAUGGUUGCAGUUUUAAAUAAACCCAAUCUCCUUCUGCAAACACCCUCUCAGUAUGCUUUCGAUCAUAAGCCUACUUCAUUCGAGCCUGUGCAACUUGCAAAUUUCUUUUCAAAAUCGCCAGAAGUUCAUCUCUGGUCCUAAGUGCUUGAUCAACUGACUCCACUGUUGUUGACCCUGGAAUAUAAGCUUGCACUGGUCUCGGAUCAUAUCCAUACAAAGCUUUGAAUGGUGACAUUCCAAUUGCAGAUUGAUGAGCUGUAUUGUACCAAUACUCAGCCCAUGGCAAGGCAUCAACCCAGGUUUUUGGUUUCUCUCCCACUACACAUCUCAAGUAUUGCUCCAAGGUCCUGUUCAGGUUUUAUGUCUGUCCAUCUGUUUGUGGAUGUGAUGCUGAACUCUUGUGAAGAGCUGUGCCUUGUUCCUUGAAGAAUGACUCCCAAAAGAGACUUAGAAAGACUGGAUCUCUAUCUGAAAUUAUAGUCUCUGGUAAAUCAUGAAGCUUGUAGAUGUUUUGGAUGAAUACUUGAGCCACUCCUGCAGCAGUGUAAGGAUGAGAAAGUGGCAUAAAAUGUGCAUACUUGGUGAACCUAUCAAUUACUACUAGCACCACUGACUUUCCUCCAGAAGUUGGUAAACCUUCAAUAAAGUCCAUGGAGAUGUGCCCCCAUGCUUGUUCUGGUAUAGAAUUAGGCUGCAAUAAACCAGGGGGGUUCACAGUCUCAUAGUGGUGUUGUUGACAAAUGUGACAAGAUGCCACAAAAGGCUUGACAUCACUGUGUAAACCAGGCCAUGAGAAAGAUCUUUUGAUUCUCUUCUCAGUUCUGUGAAUUCCAGCAUGCCCCCCUUGUAGACCUUCAUGAAACUCAGCAAUCACUUUAGUUCUCCAGCCCCCACUCUGAGGCACAAAUAGAUUCCCUCUAUAGUGCAAUUGGUUAUUCACUAAUGUGUACCUUGAAUCAGUGCAAGUGCCCUGCUGUAAUUCCCUUAUUUUUAUGCUAGCUUCCACAUCUGCAUCACAAACAGCUUGUAUAUCCCUCACAUAACUGUGAAUAGGUGAAGAAACUCUCAUUAUACCAUUAAGAGUUACAUAUUUCUCAACCACCUCAGCCCUUUCACUUCCCAAAUCUUCCUUUCUUGAUAAUGCAUCUGAAGCAGCAUUAUUCUUUCUAGGUUUGUAAGAAAUGGAAUAAUCAUAACCAGCCAGUUUAAGCAACCACUUUUGUUGAGCAGGAGUUGAAAUCUUUUGCUCCAAGAAGUAUUGGAUUGUUCUGUGAUCUGUAAAAAUCUUCAAAUGAUUUCCCAACAGAUAGGGUCUCUGAUGUUGUACUGCAAAUACUACUGCCAUCAUCUCUUUGUCAUAAACCGAGAGUGCCAAGUGCCUAGGAGCUAGAGCCUUGCUUAAAAAAGCUAUUGGAUGUCCCUCUUGAGACAAUACAGCUCCAAUGCCUAUUCCAGAUGCAUCACAUUCAAUAACAAAUGGCUUGGAAAAAUCUAGAAAAGCCAACACUGGUGUGGACAUGAGUGCUUGCUUGAGAUUCUCAAAUGACAACUGUGACUUCUUGCUCCAUUGAAACCCUCCUAUCUUCAACAUGUCAGUUAAGGGCUUGGCAAUGAUCCCAAAAUUUCAUACAUAUUUUCUGUAAUAUCCUGCCAAACCAAGAAAACCUCUCAAAUCUUUAACUGUUUGUGGUUGGCUCCACUGUUUGAUACAAGCAAUUUUAGCUGGAUCCACUGAAACCCCAUCUUUACUGAUUACAUGUCCAAGGUAUUCCACAUGUGACACUCCAAAAUUGCACUUGCUUUUCUUAAUCUUGAGCUGAUGUUGUUGUAAUCUGCUAAAAACCAUCUCCAAGUGUUGUAAAUGACUAGCUGUAGAAGGACUAUAAAUCAAGAUAUCAUCAAAGAACACCAAUGCAAACUUCCUCAGAAAAUCUCUUAGAACAUCAUUCAUGACAGAUUGAAAGGUUGAAGGUGCAUUUGUGAGGCCAAAUGGCAUGACCAAGAACUCAUAGUGUCCAUUAUGAGUUCUGAAAGCUGUUUUUUCCACAUCAGAAACACUCAUUCUAAUUUGGUGAUAACCCGAACGCAAAUCCAACUUAGUGAAAAUCACUGCUCCUUGCACCUCAUCAAGCAACUCAUCAAUUACAGGUAUAGGAUACUUGUCCUUAACUGUCACUGAAUUCAAAGCUCUAUAAUCUACACACAUUCUCCGGCUGCCAUCUUUCUUUUUUACUAAAAGAACAGGUGAUGAAAAAGGGCUCUUACUAGGUCUUAUAACACCAUUGUCAAGGAGUUCCUGCACAAUCUUUUCAAUUUCAGAUUUUUGAAAAUGAGGGUCCCGGUAAGGUCUCACACUCACAGGGGGAGUGUUUGGGAAUAGUUCAAUACUAUGAUCUUGCUUUCUAGAUGGAGGAAGUGUUGAAGGGACUUCAAAUAGGGUUGCAUACUUAUCUAUUAGUUGAGCAAUGUCUUCAGAUGGACUUCCCCCUUUUUGGACUUCAACAACUGAUUGGACCUGGAUCAACAUAGCUUCUCUCUCUUUUCUCAAUAAUCUGGUCAUACUCUUACAACCAAUGGCUUUUACUUCCACUGAUUGCUCACCCUGCAAACAAAACUCCUGUUGUGACACCAUGAAUUUCAUUUUCAUCGUCUCAAAAUUCCAAAGUAUGUCUCCUAGUGUCUUGAACCAAGCAGCCCCCAAAACCACUUCACAUCUUGUGACUGGUAAAAUGUAGAAAUCAUUAGUACAAACAAAGCCUUGCAUCUCCAAGCUAGCUGUCACUUCCCCUUUGGUUUGCAUUCUUGCCCCACUAGCUAGAGAAACACUCAAUGGUGCAAAAUAAUGCACUGGAAAUUUGGUGCCUUUGAGCAGCUGUGGAUGCACAAAAUUAUAAGUGGCACCAGAAUCAAUAAGAACAUGUACUACCUUGCCACCAAAUAAACCCUUAAGCUACAUAGUUUGAGCAUUAGAGUCAUCUGACAUGAUAUGUAACCUAAUGAGAGGUUCAUCUAAAUCUAUAACUGGUGACACUUCAUUGUCUUGGUUCUCAUCCCCAUGCUGCAUAAGCUCACCUUCAUCUGGAACAAUCUCCAAACACAUAAGUUGACCCUUUUCUCUACAAUUGCAUGUGACCAGGGACAUAUGCAGCAUCACAUAAAUAACACUGCUUCUUAGCUCUUCUUGCCUCAAAUUCUACAUUAGUGAGUUUGAGUCUCACAUUUGAUUGACUUGUGGGAGCUGAUGGAGGUGCCUUGAUCUAAUAACUUGGAACUUGUAUUGGUUUCGAUGCUGAAAAUCUAUUGCUAUUGUAGCCACUAUUGGAAGUAACACUGUGUCUUGCAAAAUGUUUCAUGUUCGCAUUUCGAGUUUCAUAUACUCGAGCUAACUCACAAGCUUCAUACAGAGAUCUCGGUUUGAGGGCUUGAACAUCAGCUCUUAUAUCCUCCUUCAACCCUCCAAUAAAGAAGUACACCAACCCCUCUUGUGAAAUGCCUAGUGUUCUUCUAGAUAGCUUAGUAAAUUGCUCCAUGAAUUGUUCCACACUACCAGUCUGAUUCAUCCUUGCUAAGGCUGCAUGACAUUCAGUGUGGUUGUAAUUACUAAAUUCCCUCAUCAGCAAGUCAGCCAAACCCUGCCAAGUGGGUGGAAACUCAUGUCUAAACAUGUACCACCGAUCAGAAGCCUUAUCAGUGAGGUGCAUUGAUGUUAUGGACAGUUUUCUCUCCUCUGGAAUUUGGUAAAAUUCAAAGAACUGCUCACAUUUGUUGAGCCAUUCCACAGGGUCCCCACCUCCAUAAUUUCCAAAAUCAAGUCUCAUUUGCUUCAUAGUAGGUAAGUUUGGAUCAAAAUGAGAUUGGUGAGAGUUGUAAGUUUGCUGCUGGUACUGGUUUGCAAUGUAGUGUGGAGGGUUCUGCAGAUGAAAAUGGGCUGAGUUGUUAACACUGGUUUUUGGUGACAACGGGUGAGUGGUAGUAGUGGUGGCAUUGACAAAGGUCUGUUGAUGAAUGUAAUUGGGUGUAGAGGAAUGGGAAGGAAAGCUACUAGACCCAAGAUUAUUACUCAAUGCAGUAUAAGGGCCAGUGUAGCUCAUGGAAAACAUGUCCUGUGAGUUUUGAGUAGAGUUAGGAGCAUAAAUAGUAUGGUGUGAAGGAAAUGACUGAGUCAAUCCCAAAGUUGGUGGUGUGCCAAGCACAAAGCCACUCACAAACAUAUGUGGUUGUGAUACUUCCAUUUGUUGGAUUCCAGAAUUCACCAUACUUGAAACUCCUGACUGCUUCUUAGAUCCAAACACCAUAGACAUGUCAACAGUAGAAUUAACCCCACUAACCAUCACAGUACUAGUUCCAGGUCCUAGAAUAGGGUUAUUGCUAAUAGAUAAAAGAUCUAAUGACAUAAACACAUCAUUACUAGUUGAAUCUGAAUCAAUAGGUUCAGUAGAAAUAAUACCCUCAGACCUAGCCAAUACCAAAGAGGAUGAGCUGUCAACUGCAGGAAUCACUCCUCGAGUAGAAGCUAACAUAGAUCCGAAGCGUACUGACCCAUCCGGUUGUGUAAUAGCAGCAGAUCCAGCAGGUCCAGAAUUAGUUAACACUAAUUUGUUGUCGUCGAGCCUUACGCAUGAGACGUGUUUCUGAAACUGCUCCGCCAAUAUGCUCUGAAAGCUUAACAAAUUAGCAUCCAGAGAUUUCUGAAAUGACGCUUGCAUUUCCUCAAACUGAGCUGCAGUAGCAUCCUUAUGAGCUUGGAUUUCAAGCUCCAGUUGAGACAACUCACUCGGAUUCAAAGGAUCUGAGAAAGACGACUUUCCAGCCUUCUUCGCUGCUUUCCCCGCCAUGAUCGACAGGCUCCUGAUACCACUUGUUACGGGCUAAGCCCUUGAGAGAAAGGAAGGGAAGGGAGAAGAGAAACAGAAAGAAAAGGAAAGAGAUAAUUUCAUUCAUAACCCCAGCUGUAGUACAGACUGAGAUUAAAUAGCCUUAUCAUGGUUGACACCUGUCAACAAUCCAUGGGUUCAGCUUAAUCCAACCAUAAUCAACUAAUUAGACUAAUUAACUAAAUUAACUGAAUAAUCAAACAUGUGCUAAAAGUCCACACUCAUAACAGUUACCCACUUCUCCACCAUUUUUCACCAGUAGAUUACGUGUUUAACCUACCAAUGUAUUUUCUUGCUUCCUCUAGUUUUUAGUAGCUCUGAUUACCCUUGGGGAUAUUGUAUAAUAUUUCGGUGGUGUACUAAGACUUAUGAUACAUUUUUGAAUACUCGAAGGAUGACGUAUGUUAUAUUAGUUAGAUAUUUAUGUGAUGGAUUGGAAGAUGGUUUUAAUGUUAUAUUGUGGUGGUUGUGUUUGUGGGGAGCGGAUGGCUCUAGGAGGUGAGGAUGGUUGUUUCGUUGUAGGAGUAUUGUUUUGAAUUUUUCAGGUUACGGUUGUCCAUUUUCAAAGGAGGUUAUACCAAAUUUUUCGGUAAAUUUUCCUUGGAUGUGGACCUCGUGAUAUGCUCAUAUUAUCCUAUAUUUCUAAGCCUCUUAUGCUUGAGAUUUGUAUUUAGUUCUCUUCUUUAUGACUUAUUUACGUUAUUUUAGUGUUCUUGAAGGUUUGUGUCACAAAGAGAAGAAAAAGGAGCUAAAAUGUGCAAAUUAGGAAUGAAAGACGACUACAAUCCCAAGUCUCAGAAUCUGCUUAUGCAGAACAUCCAACUUCGCCGAAUUACUGAGAAUUACUCAGAUCGAAUCAGAUAAUGAGCCUUAUAUCAUUUGAAAGCUACGGAAGUCUACUUUCUGUAGAAGUUUAUGGAUCUUGAUUUCGAUACUUCUAGACCGAGUUAUAAUCGUUUGAGUGAAGAAAGGUCUCAUCAGCAAAUCUGCUCGGGAAAUUACAAGCUUUUGUGGAGAACUCAAGUUCCAUGGCACAAGACCAUCAACCUUAAAGCUUCAAGGACAAUAAUUCAGAUAAGGAUUCAAGGAGUACGUGUAUUCCUAGUUCUACAAGAAAUAUCUCAAGGUUUUUCCAUUCCAUAUCAAGAAAGGGGUUUGAAUCCAAGUUUUACAAGGAAACAUGAAGUCAAAGAUGAGCAGGAAACUUCUCUAUUUAAGGGAGCAUGAAUUUCACAUUAAGAGGGAGGUCUCGAGAGCACAUUGUAGAUGCCUAAAGGAGCAGAGAUCCAUCCUCCCUUCACCUUUCCAUUAUUUUUAUGUUUUCGUUAUGUUUUACUUAGUUAUGUUUUGUUAAACCUUUUCUAGGGUUAGGAUGAUGCCCUAGCAUGAUUGUUUAUAUUCUUAAUGAUUGAUUAAUAGAUUUAUAGUUUCUUAAUGAUGAAUGGUUGAUCACUGUUUGAUUUUUUGCUUUAUGUCUCAGUUCUUUCUUUGAUUGAUCACCAUAAGACUUUGCAUUUAGUAAUUGGAAGAUAAAUUUGAAGCAGAGAUGCAAUAUAGUUUAUUUAGCUUCUUGUGAUUGAGUAUGGUGAAUUACGUUAUUGCUUGAGAAAGAAUAAUGGUUUGCUUGAUUCUCUUAUUUUCUAAUACGUAAUGAGUCCUGCAUGUUAAAUUUAUACCUGAGAAUGAUAGACUGCAUAGCUAUGAUAUACGACCUUUACUCGAGAGGGAGAGCAUCAUACACUUAAGGAAAAUUAUGGUCUAGAGUACCUGAGAAUGACUUAGAUACGGGAAUUGUCAUCUAGAGAAACGAAAGAGUCUGUUAGUUGCAUCAAAGCAUAAACAUGAUUGUUAGUGGUUGAUUCUGACAUCCUAGAUUCAUUCAUCAUUGUUUGUUUACUUAUUUUCUUGUUUCUUUGUUUAUUUGUUUUUUUAAAUUGUUAUCGUGAUUUGUGUGUUUUGGUAUAGUUAGUUUAAGUAUUUCAUAAUUUGAAUUGAACUAGUAUCCUCGUGGGAACGAUAACCCUUUUUUUUCUAUUCACUAUACUACAUCCACCCUGUAUACUUGCAGGAAUUACAUCACCCCGUAGGAUUUAUUUCGGGUUUUAGAGUGAUAUUCGGGAUGGGUUCUGACAUAAAUAUAUUCACAACACUACAUAUAUUACUUUACUAAUCCUGGAAAAUGAUUAGGCACAAUUCUUUUUUCGACCUCAAUAUUCAUAAACUUUUCAAGAAUCUUUUGUCUCAUUUCCUCGACACUAGCUUUUGUUAGAAUUUCUCCAUGGCAUAGGUUGUGAGACCCCGCAGAAUUAAAGUACUCAUUGUGGUGCUUGGGAGAUUUGGAGACAUCGAUUUGGGGUUGACGUUGUACUAAGCAAGUGACCUCGGGUAAAAUUGAAGCUCGAAGUCUUCAUUAGCCGGUAGAGGUUUUCUUUGUUACCACUUACCGAUCUCUAAGAGCAUCUCCAGCAGUAUUGAUAAAUUGAAAAAAAUUAGAGAUUUAUCAAUUUUUAAAUGAAUCUUUGCUCUAGCAGUAAACUUAAGAAGUCGAUAAAUUCAAAAAUUGAUAGAGAAAAUUGAUAAAUUUAUCAAUCUUGGGGAGACAAUUAACUAAAACUUAGCUAAUGUAUACAAUUUAGCAAUACUGCUGGAGCAAAAAUUUAAAAAUUGCUACUUUA
rnacentral:lncRNA from 1 species